UACGUAGGCAGCAAGCGUUGUUCGGAGUUACUGGGCGUAAAGGGUGCGUAGGCGGCUUUUUAAGUUUGGUGUGAAAUCUCCCGGCUCAACUGGGAGGGUGCGCCGAAUACUGAGAGGCUAGAGUGUGGGAGAGGAAAGUGGAAUUCCUGGUGUAGCGGUGAAAUGCGUAGAUAUCAGGAGGAACACCGGUGGUGUAAACGGCUUUCUGGACCAUAACUGACGCUGAGGCACGAAAAGCGUGGGGUAGCAAACAGG
rnacentral:rRNA from 1 species